rnacentral:rRNA from 1 species
GACGAACGCUGGCGGCGUGCUUAACACAUGCAAGUCGAACGGAAAGGCCCUGCUUUUGUGGGGUGCUCGAGUGGCGAACGGGUGAGUAACACGUGAGUAACCUGCCCUUGACUUUGGGAUAACUUCAGGAAACUGGGGCUAAUACCGGAUAGGAGCUCCUGCUGCAUGGUGGGGGUUGGAAAGUUUCGGCGGUUGGGGAUGGACUCGCGGCUUAUCAGCUUGUUGGUGGGGUAGUGGCUUACCAAGGCUUUGACGGGUAGCCGGCCUGAGAGGGUGACCGGCACAAUUGGGAUGGGGAAAGGGCCCAGACUCCUAGGGGGGGCAGGGGGGGGGAAUAUUGCACAAGGGGCGGAAGCCGGAUGCAGCAACGCCGGGGGGGGGAGGACGGCCUUGGGGUUGUAAACCGCUUUCCCCUGGGACGAAGGGGGAGUGACGGUAAUGGGUAAAGAAGCACCGGCUAAAUACGG